GCCAGGUGCAGUGGAGCACACCUGUAAUCCCAGCAACUCAGGAGGUUGAGGCAGGAAGAUUGCGAGUUCAUAGCCAGCCUCAGCAAUGGUGAGGUGCAGAGGAACUCAGUGAGACCCUGUCUCUA
rnacentral:sRNA from 1 species